rnacentral:rRNA from 1 species
CUUUGACAUGUACGGAAUUUGCCAGAGAUGGCUUAGUGCUCGAAAGAGAGCCGUAACACAGGUGCUGCAUGGCUGUCGUCAGCUCGUGUCGUGAGAUGUUGGGUUAAGUCCCGCAACGAGCGCAACCCUUGUCAUUAGUUGCUACGAAAGGGCACUCUAAUGAGACUGCCGGUGACAAACCGGAGGAAGGUGGGGAUGACGUCAAGUCCUCAUGGCCCUUAUAGGUGGGGCUACACACGUCAUACAAUGGCCGGUACAAAGGGUCGCAAACCCGCGAGUGGGAGCUAAUCCAUCAAAGCCGGUCGUAGUCCGGAUCGCAGUCUGCAACUCGACUGCGUGAAGUCGGAAUCGCUAGUAAUCGUGGAUCAGCAUGUCACGGUGAAUACGUUCCCGGGUCUUGUACACACCGCCCGUCACACCAUGGGAGCGGGUCUCGCCAGAAGUAGUUAGCCUAACCGCAAGNAGGGCGAUUACCACGGCG